CAUAUCCGCCCCGCUUCAGGUGUCUCACGCCGCCGCGCGUGAGGUGAAACGGGAAGUCGGUUGAAGUCCGACGCUGCCCCCGCAACGGUAAGCGAGCGACCGCAUCGAAACGCCACUGUGCGCCACGCGCAUGGGAAGGCGAUGCGUUCAUGACCCUCGCAAGCCCGGAGACCGGCCUGGAGUCGUUUGUGUCUG
rnacentral:ncRNA from 1 species